ACCCCACUAUGGUGUAUGCCUAAAAUCUAACCUUGUCAUAACUUGUGAGACAAUUUUUCAAGGAAUAAGUAUAAGGCUAUUAAUUAUGCUGGAUCACAAUUAGGCGUGGAGGUAGGAGGUUUUCUGCCACCUAAUUAUGUCUUUCUAUAUUCCAUUGGGAUAGAGCAUAAUUUAAGGUGAUCUAUAAUCAUAUUUUGAUUAAUAUUUCAGUGAAUAUAGGUUGAUUUGGCAGCUUUAUUCAGAGGGACACGCAGUGCACUGUAAUGACUGGUUUUGACCACCAGAUGGCGCCAGCGAUACACGCUUGGCAUUCUAGCAACUGGGUAUUUUCCACAGAGUGACACUAGCAGAUCACAUGUCUCCUGUUCAGCCAAUGAGCUGCAUACUAUCCUUCAAGUCUCCUUCACUGUCUAACAAAGAAUCAGAAGCUCCAUAGUUAUCGACGGCAGAAGUGCUCCUGUGACCUUGUGUAAGCUUCUUUAAAUUUUCUUUGACACUAUUUUUUAUGACAUAUGGUGCCUGAUGAAGGUUUUACCGAAACGUUGCAUCGAUUUGUCAUAGUUUAUACAUGUUUAAUAAAUAGUGCUAUUUUUUGGAAAUUUGGAUUUUUCAUUUUUCCUUUUCAUCUGCCCAUUGACACUUUAACAAACUACCUCCGAUUCUGUUGCCUGCCUUAUAUUUGCAUACAAUGUCCGGGUUGUUGAAAAAGCAAGCCCCUCUUUUUAUGGCUAGCAGCAUUAGCAAAAGCCAUGCGGUGCCACCAUUUUGGCUUACUGCUGCUAGCGCCGGUGAAGAUGGGCGUGGCCUCAACUAUGAGUCACGCUACAGCGAAUUAGCAGGCAACAACAUCCAGAACGGAGAUGGUCUCCAAGACUACCAUUUCGGCCCUAAAAUAAGAGGUAUGCAAAACAUUAUCACAAUGUUGCAUCAUCUUAAAAAUGUUAACCAACAUGAGCAACCACAAACUAUUUCCAAAAUGGCAAAUACAUUGGCCAACAGAAUAAGGCCUGCAUUAAACAAUGCGGACACGCAGGCCUUAAUUGUAAUUAACGCCAGAAAUUGGGCCGGCGCAACUAUGGACAUUUUGAAGAGGCAUUAUUUAAAUGCAUUAAACAUUGAAAAGGACAAGCUGACUCCUAUAAUUGGAUACAAUUGGAGGUCUUCCUUUUUUAUUGCCUCCAACUGGGCCAAAAAGAAGUUUGGCACAAAGAUGACUUUUGACACCCUACAACUGGCGGAGAGCCAUAUAGCCUCGCUGAUGAUGACACCCAAAGGCCACAACGAGCGAGCGGUUCCACCAGGACCGAGCGAUGACGCCGGGACGACGAAGCCUGUCUCUGCAUCCCAGAAACCUCAGGCCAUGGUGGAGAUUGGCGGCGAGUUCCCUCCUCCUGCCUGCUUGGCGCCGGCUGUUCUGAUGACUCCACAAAGUUCCAGCACACACGCAGAAGCUUCCUGCUCCGCUCCUGUGACGCAAGACGACAGACGAAGGCGAGAACGCAGACGGCCCGUGAGUGACCUGAGACCGUGUAACAUCGGACCCCGCGCGCCCCAGGUACAGAGUGCGACUUGUGGUUCACCCCCUCCCACCUGCAGGCGACCUGAGACGGAGAGGAUGAGACGACCGAGUCCUGAGCGCACCGUUCCUCCUGACUACAGCUCGCUCACGCCCAUCGUUGUCCAGCCAGCCACACAUGUCGGUGCGGUGACUUGGAAGUCCCCCACUGACGGGCUGACACGCUGGUUCCGUAAAUGGGCGGGCCCACCACACAUGACCCAUAUAUCGGGGGGAUGUCUAAAUGGGGUGCAAAAUGUCUGACUUUGUGGGUGUUAUCUGGUUGGCCUCCUUUGGGGACUUCCGGUGGGUUCUGCGUCUGGCGGGGCGUCGCCUUGGCGGGGAGUUGAUGGACCGAGCACAAACCCCUCCCCCUCUCUCUCUCUCUCUCUCUCUCUCUCUAUCGCUCUUUCUUUCUUAAUCCCCCAAAAACCUAACCCUAACCCUAACCCUAACCCUAAAUCCUUACCAUAAACCUAACCCUAACCCUAACCCUAAUCCUAACCCUUGUCCGAUUGGGGUCCCCUGGGGGGGUGUGCUCUGGGUGUGGGGUCACUCUGGCGGACUGUAGACGGACAGUGCAUAUUCCCUUUUCCCUCCCCCAACCCUAACCCUAACCCCCCAACACCUAACUAGCCAGUGCCUCCAGUCUGCCGUUGGGGUGGCAUCCUGCCCUUUGUGCGCCCCCCCUUGGGGCUCUGUUGGGCAUUGCUGGGAUGUGGUGAUGGGCUGAUGAUUAUCAGACACAUUUUAAAAUUGGAGUAGAGGUCACUGACACAGAGGAACUGUCUGGAUAUCUUUAUUUAUUUAAAUACUUACCUUGUUUGCUGUGAUUUAUUUAUCUUGUUUGCAGUGCUUACUUUAUUUUGAGUGGUACUUACCUGAUUUGCAGUGCUUUGCUUUAUUUUGAGUAGAGUUUUAUACCCAGCUGGCCUGGAUGAUUAAUUACUUGCUUUGAGUUGUGUGCAGUGAUUUCUUUUUUCAAACACCAGACAUUCCUUUGCAAUCAGUGGAGCGAACUGAAUGACCGCAGGUGUGAGCCUUAGCCCCGCCCACUGCGGCGCUCUUAUAAAAUCCUCCUCCUUCCAUAGCUCCAUUUGACAAAAGGCUCCGGCUAAUGAGGAAGGCAUUAUGCUGGAGACCGCAAAUGUUGUAGCUUUUACAUGCCUGAAGAGGCCAAAUAGGCCGAAACGCGUCGCAUGUUCAAAUUGGUUGAUGUGUCUGACACCACUCUCGGCGUUGUCCGAUUGGGGUCCCCUGGGGGGGUGUGCUCUGGGUGUGGGGUCACUCUGGCGGACUGUAGACGGACAGUGCAUAUUCCCUUUUCCCUCCCCCAACCCUAACCCUAACCCCCCAACACCUAACCCUAACCCUAACCCUAAAUCCUUACCAUAAACCUAACCCUAACCCUAACCCCUAACCCUAACCCUAACCCUAACCCAUCCUGCUGUAGAGAAAUAGGGAAGAUGAAUUAGCCUCAGGAGACUAGUAGUGCUCCACCUACUGGGAAUUAGAAGCGUCCCAGUAGGCAUGAGGUAACAGAAAGCCAACCUGAUGAGGCCUAGGGGGCCGAAACGCGUAGUUGGACAGCCACAAUGGUUUCUGCGCCUGUGUUUGCCACCGCAUUCUCAUUCGGGGUCUCCGGGGGGUCCUGCGUUUGGCGUGGGCGUCGCCUGACGGGUUGUAGACGGACAGUGCACACCCUUUGCCCCUUACCCUAACCCUAACCACAAACCUAACCCUAACCCUAACCCUAACCUAACCCUAACCCUAACCCUAAAAUAAGAGGUAUGCAAAACAUUAUCACAAUGUUGCAUCAUCUUAAAAAUGUUAACCAACAUGAGCAACCACAAACUAUUUCCAAAAUGGCAAAUACAUUGGCCAACAGAAUAAGGCCUGCAUUAAACAAUGCGGACACGCAGGCCUUAAUUGUAAUUAACGCCAGAAAUUGGGCCGGCACAACUAUGGACAUUUUGAAGAGGCAUUAUUUAAACGCAUUAAACAUUGAAAAGGACAAGCUGACUCCUAUAAUUGGAUACAAUUGGAGGUCUUCCUUUUUUAUUGCCUCCAACUGGGCCAAAAAGAAGUUUGGCACAAAGAUGACUUUUGACACCCUACAACUGGCGGAGAGCCAUAUAGCCUCGCUGAUGAUGACACCCAAAGGCCACAACGAGCGAGCGGUUCCACCAGGACCGAGCGAUGACGCCGGGACGACGAAGCCUGUCUCUGCAUCCCAGAAACCUCAGGCCAUGGUGGAGAUUGGCGGCGAGUUCCCUCCUCCUGCCUGUUUGGCGCCGGCUGUUCUGAUGACUCCACAAAGUUCCAGCACACACGCAGAAGCUUCCUGCUCCGCUCCUGUGACGCAAGACGACAGACGAAGGCGAGAACGCAGACGGCCCGUGAGUGACCUGAGACCGUGGAACAUCGGACCCCGCGCGCCCCAGGUACAGAGUGCGACUUGUGGUUCACCCCCUCCCACCUGCAGGCGACCUGAGACGGAGAGGACGAGACGACUGAGCGCUGAACGCAUCGUGCCUCCUGACCACAGCUCGCGCACACCCGUCGGUGUCCAGCCAGCCACAGAGGGACUUCCGGGGGGUUCUGCGUCUGGCGGAGCCCAACUUGGCGGAGGGUUGAUUGGACCGUGCACAUCCCCUUCCCAAUUUUUCUCUCUCUCUCUCUCUCUCUCUCUCUCUCUCUCUCUCUCUCUCUCUCUCUCUAUCUCACCCCCAAAAACCUAACCCUAACCCUAACCCUAGCCCCGCCCCCUGCGGCGCUCUAACAAAAUCCUCCUCCGCCCAUAGCUCCAUUUGACAAAAGGCUCCAGCUAAUGAGGAAGGCAUUAUGCUGGAGACCGCAAAUGUGGUAGCUUUUACAUGCCUGAAGAGGCCAAAUAGGCCGAAACGCGUCGCAUGUUCACAAAAUGAAUGGUUGAUGUGUCUGACACCACUCUCAACGUUGUUCGAUUGGGGCUCCUGGGGGGGGUGUGCCCUUGGUGGGGUGUCACUCUGGCAGACUGUUGAUGGACAGUGCAUAUUCCUAGUCCCUUCCCCCAAACCCUAACCCUAACCCUAAUCCUAACCCCAACACCUAACUAGCCAGUGCCUCCAGUCUGCCGUUGGAGUGGCGCCCUGCCUUUCGUGCGCCCCCCCUGGGGCUCUGUUGGGCAUUGCUGGGAUGUGGUGAUGGGCUGAUGAUUAUCAGACACAUUUUAAAAUUGGAGUAGAGGUCACUGACACAGAGGAAUUGUCUGGAUGUCUUUUAUUUAUUUAUGUAAAUACUUACCUUGUUUGCUGUGAUUUACUUAUCUUGUUUGCAGUGCUUACUUUAUUUUGAGUGGUACUUACCUGAUUUGCAGUGCUUUGCUUUAUUUUGAGUAGAGUUUUAUACCCAGCUGGCCUGGAUGAUUAAUUACUUGCUUUGAGUUGUGUGCAGUGAUUCCUUUUUUCAAACACCAGACAUUCCUUUGCAAUCAGUGGAGCGAACUGAAUGACCGCAGGUGUGAGCCUUAGCCCCGCCCCCUGCGGCACUCUAACAAAAUCCUCCUCCGCCCAUAGCUCCAUUUGACAAAAGGCUCCAGCUAAUGAGGAAGGCAUUAUGCUGGAGACCGCAAAUGUGGUAGCUUUUACAUGCCUGAAGAGGCCAAAUAGGCCGAAACGCGUCGCAUGUUUACAAAAUGAAUGGUUGAUGUGUCUGACACCACUCUCGGCGUUGUUCGAUUGGGGCUCCUGGGGGGGGUGUGCCCUUGGUGGGGUGUCACUCUGGCAGACUGUUGAUGGACAGUGCAUAUUCCUAACCCCCUCCCCCAAACCCUAACCCUAACCCUAACCCCAACACCUAACCCUAACCCUAACCCCUAACCCCUAACCCUAACCCACUAAGUAUUAUAAGGGUCAGAGGUCACAGACAUGGAGAAUCGUAUCUUGAUUUUGUUUGAAGUUAUUUAUACUUCUUUAUUUGUGUGUGCUGUGAUUUACUUACUUACCUGUGUGCAGUGCUUUUGGAGUCCAGCUGCCCUGGAUCACUUUUAUCUAUACUUACCUUUGGAGUGAUUAUUGUUUGGUGUUAUUUUGCACCAAAUACUUUUCCAUGUCUGUGGAGUGUGAUCAUUGCAGCUGUGAGCAAUCGCCACCUGCAAACACUCGGAGCGAUUCAUUGCAGCUGAGGGCAUAAGCCACGCCCCUUGCUAGCUCUUUUAAAACCUCUUCUUGCAUUCGCGGCUCAUUUUACCUCCAGCAGUUGAGGGGACAACUGACCUAGGAGAAGUAAUGAAGCCAAAGUUUUUAAAGUUUCACACCUGAUGAGGCCAGACAGGCCGAAACGUACGUAGUGUGAUUUUUAGAACUUGACUGUGUUGACGCCACACUCGGCGGUUGUCGUUCGGGGUCCUCGGGGGGUGUGCGUCUGGUGGGGGCGUCACUCUGGCGGAUUGUUGAUUGGACUGUGCCAUCCUAUUUCCCGUCCAAUUUCCCUAAUCCUAACCAAUAACCCUCUACACCUAACCCUAACCCUAACCCGGUGUCAACGAUGUGGCGAGAUGUACGUGGGCGAGACGGGCAAUACCAUAGCUAGGAGAUUCGCCCAACACAAGUACAACAUCGUUAAACACAAAAAUACCGACACUCACCUGGUCCAGCAUUUUGUCCGACACGGUUGGUCUUCCGUCCGAGCGACGGUCGUCGAGACGAACCCCAGAUGGAGCCUCGCCCAACGUUACAGGGCGGAGCUCCUCUGGAUCGUAAAGCUGGGCACCAGAUUUCCGGGGGGCCUAAACGAGAUGUGAGUGUUAGCCGAUUGGACUGUUGAAGGACAGUGCACAUUCCCUCUUUAUUUCCCCUCUUUAUUUUCCUUAUAUCCCCCGCCCCUCCUCUUCCCUAACCCUAACCAUUUCUUUUCUCUGGCCCUAACCCAAACCUAACCCCAACCCUAAUCCUAACCCUAACCUCUAACCCUAACCCCAAACCUAACCCUUGUUUUCAUACUCUUCAACCAGGGGAAGUAUUUUGUGAUAACUUUGUUCUCCACAACUCAAAUUCCCAGAGAUGAUGGUGGUCAAGGUACCAGCCAGGACCUGGGAAAAGCAAAAAGAAAGAAGUACACUUGAGUUCCCAGAGAGCGUAAGAAAGACGAUAGUAGUGAAGGGACCAGCCAGGACCCGGACGAUGAGAUGCCGGCGGCCAAAAAAGGCAAAAAAUAAGAAGCGCAAAUAAGACCGGUACCAUGGGCUCAGUGCUGCAGAGAGGUGUGGUACCACGUGGCACCAUGUGGUACCAUGGGUUGAGUGCUGCUGCUGUCCCACAUUGUAGUUAAUAAAAAUGAUUGACAAAU